rnacentral:rRNA from 1 species
GACGAACGCUGGCGGCGUGCUUAACACAUGCAAGUCGAGCGGAAAGGCCCUUUCGGGGGUACUCGAGCGGCGAACGGGUGAGUAACACGUGAGUAAUCUGCCCUGCGCUCUGGGAUAGCCACCGGAAACGGUGAUUAAUACCGGAUAUGACCGCUCUAGGCAUCUAGUGGUGGUGGAAAGUUUUUCGGCGCAGGAUGUGCUCGCGGCCUAUCAGCUUGUUGGUGAGGUAAUGGCUCACCAAGGCUUUGACGGGUAGCCGGCCUGAGAGGGUGACCGGUCACACUGGGACUGAGACACGGCCCAGACUCCUACGGGAGGCAGCAGUGGGGAAUAUUGGACAAUGGGCGGAAGCCUGAUCCAGCAACGCCGCGUGAGGGAUGACGGCCUUCGGGUUGUAAACCUCUUUCAGUACCGACGAAGCGAGAGUGACGGUAGGUACAGAAGAAGGACCGGCCAACUACGUGCCAGCCGCCGCCGUAACAC